GCCCUUUGAGGUCUGUGGGUUUGGGCCCUACUAUUCCAAACCCUGACCUGUCCACCCAGGGGCUCCAAGUGGGGCAGAGCAGGGAAGAGGAAAAGGCUGCCUGAGCAGUGCCCUCACCCUGCCAGCCCAGCCGCCAGCUUCUUGGAGGACCUCUGAGAGAACAUUUGUUUGGGCUGCCAAGUUAAAUCUUCCUCCCUCAUGUCAAGGCAUUGGAAAAGCAGUCAGGGGAAAGAAGGGGGAGAAGGGGGAAGGAGCAGUGGGAGGGAAGGAGGCGAGCAGGAGGGCAGAUUCUCAGAGCCCCAGUUACUCCGCACUGCCAGCCAGGAAGCUUGAGGCUCCCAGGCUGGCGCAGCCGGAACUCCGGACACCCAAGCAGGGGCCGGACCCCCAGGCCUCCAGGGUCAUGAGCCGGGUGCCAGGCGCCCUUGGACAUCGCCUCGGGAGAGGUCCUCGCUCGGAGUCCCGCUGGAGGGGCGAGGAUACUUGCUGCUGGAGCCCAGCCACCAUGCUGUGAGGAAGUCCAAGCAGCCUGACAAGAGGGCCCAUAUGGAAGUCUGUGAGGAGAGGAACUGAAGCCUCCAGUCCUCGGCGGCACCAACUUGCCAACCAUGGGAGGGAGCUGCUUGGAAGUGGAUCCUCCAGCCUUUGGGUGAACUGGCUACUGGUGCUGCAUGGAGCAGAAAUGAGUAUUCCCUCCUGGUUCUCGUUGUAAAUGCAGAUUUGUGAGCAAGAUAAAUAGCCACUGCUGAUUAGAGCCACUAAGUUUUUGAGGUGGUUUUUUAAUUAGAGAACUAGAUAAUUGGAA